rnacentral:rRNA from 1 species
AGAGAUGUGUGAUGACGCAUAUCAAUAAGCGGAGGAAAAGAAACUAACUAGGAUUCCCUCAGUAACGGCGAGUGAAGCGGGAAGAGCUCAAAUUUGAAAUCUUAAAGGUUUCCCCUUGACGAAUUGUAGUUUAAAGAAGUGUUUUCUGUUGGAGUUUCGGUAAAAGUUCUUUGGAAUAGGACAUCAUAGAGGGUGAGAAUCCCGUAUUUGACCAGUUACUUUCCAGCUGUGUGAUACACUUUCAAAGAGUCGGAUUGUUUGGGAAUGCAGUCCAAAAUGGGUGGUAAAUUUCAUCUAAAGCUAAAUAUUGGCGAGAGACCGAUAGCGAACAAGUACCGUGAGGGAAAGAUGAAAAGAACUUUGAAAAGAGAGUUAAACAGUACGUGAAAUUGUCAAAAGGGAAGCGUUUGACACCAGUGUUGUUUUUCCGAAAAUCAAUUACGAAUGUUUUGUUUUUGAGGAGUUAUGACUUCAUCGGCUUGCUCCUUUCUUUACGAAACUUUCUUAAUGCACUUUUCGGUUAACAAGUCAACAUCAAUUUCUUUUGUUGUAAAAGGGUACGAGGAAGGUGGCUUUCUUUUCGGAGAAAGUGUUUAUAGCCUUGUGCCUCUGCAAUCGGAGAGAUUGAGGUCUGCAGCGUAGAUCCUUCGGGGUUAGAUACAUUUGUGCUAAGUUAUAGCUUUUCAUAGACAACUUGUUGACUAUGUUUAGUCUUGUAGCUUACUCGCUUAUGCUAUUUUACCUACGCUUAGGAUGUUGAAGAUGUAGCACAUCAU